GUGCCUGGUCCCUCCCGGAGCCGCUCCGGCCGCGCCGCCGCCUCCGCUCGCUUUGUCCCCCGCACCAGGUGUCCCGCCCAGCGCCGGGCGGGAGCGAGGGGCGCACAGCCGCGGGGGCUCCGCUGAACGCGCCCGGAGCAGGUCGGCCUUCACAGGCCGCUCAACCGAGGGACUCGCUGGAGCCAUUAUCGCUCGCGGUGCCGGAGAACUUACUGAGCCUUUCGUUGCUGGGUUUGCGCCCCUGCUUGUGACCUUCCCAUCAUGUUCCCCGCCCUCGAUGUGCACUUUUCAGCGUGGACAGACGCGGAUAUCUUCACAUCACCUCCCCAUUAACCAGAAGAUCGUGGCGAAUUGGAAAUGAACACAGUAAUGACAUACCUCAGCCUUUAUCCGGGUGAAGGCAUAGCAAGCCGAAAGGAUGCGUUUACCAGCACUCCUGUGCCGGCUGGAGCUCCGAUCACACACAGAGAGAGAGAGAGAGAGGCAGAGGGAGAAGCAGGCUCCAUGCACCGGGAGCCCGACGUGGGAUUCGAUCCCGGGUCUCCAGGAUCGCGCCCUGGGCCAAAGGCAGGCGCUAAACCGCUGCGCCACCCAGGGAUCCCCGUAUUCAUUCUUUUAAUAAGUGAAACAGUUGGGUUAAAAGAGAGGCAACACGCAGACCCCACUUCAAGAAAGGACUAAUCAUCCAGCUGCAAGGAGUGCCAGCAGCUGUUAGUACCUUCAGAGUCCACCUCUGAUUUUGAGCUGAGGGUCACACUGCUCUUGGGAUGUCCACGGCUAAUGACUGAGCAAGGUAUAGCCUUUUCUGCCCAACACGGGAUCCUUCUAAUAGGUAAUCUUUGCUAUGCAGCUCCCCAGUGAGCUAGCAGAAGCUUUGUGGGUCUGCAUUACUGACAACAUGCCCUGCCUCUUCUGCUUCACAGAUGUUACUCCUCAAUAAACCAAUAAACCUUUGGGAUCCUUUA